rnacentral:sRNA from 2 species
CCCACGAUUCAACAGUCCUAUAUCAGUGUACUGUAACAUUAAUUGAUAUCAUAUACAUACAGUACUCCGUACCCGUACGUGAAAUUCAUCUAAGCAUCGUGCAUUAACUACUUACUGGUGACCCCACUGUUUUGUGAGACGGCAUCGUGAUGCCCGGCACGAGUCUGUUUUGGCGGGGUAUUUUCCAACUGGACUAUUUAGUAGCGGAGGGGCAUUUUUAUCCAAUUUUCCACACAGGUUACAUACGGCCUUGACAGCCGCCAGCCCAUUUUGCGUCUAUUUCUUUGCCACACGCCCCGGAGCACUAUCUGCCGGAUCCUAUCAUCGAUGGGUCGAUUGGCCAUUUCCUAACCCAUACCAUGCUAAGAUUCCGGUAGACAUCUCACACCCGCCACGGGCCCACGACUGGCUUAUUAUGGCUGUCAUUUUCGCGGCCACAGUACGGAGUAGAGGUUGAAAUAAUCCGUUCAAACCAC